CACCAUGCCUGGCCUUCAAAGCCUUUUUGAUUCAAAAGAUGAAAUAUGCAAUCAAUACUUGCUAGAAAUGAGAACAGAGCAGUCAACCAAUAAGAAAUUCGUGACAACUCAGAAGAUCUGAUAAGAAUACACUGGACGCUUAAUAAAGGGCCUGCGUUUGAGGCCGUGGAUUGUCGGCCUGUUCUUCCAGUCAUCGUUCCUAACUGCCUACCGGUUCUGUUUUAGGGGCCCAUCCUGAUGGAGCUGCAGACUUACCGUUACCACGGACACAGUAUGAGUGAUCCUGGAGUCAGUUACCGUACACGAGAAGAAAUUCAGGAAGUAAGAAGUAAGAGUGACCCUAUUAUGCUUCUCAAGGACAGGAUGGUGAACAGCAAUCUUGCCAGUGUGGAAGAACUAAAGGAAAUUGAUGUGGAAGUGAGGAAGGAGAUUGAGGAUGCUGCCCAGUUUGCCACGGCCGAUCCUGAGCCACCUUUGGAAGAGCUGGGCUACCACAUCUACUCCAGCGACCCACCUUUUGAAGUUCGUGGUGCCAAUCAGUGGAUCAAGUUUAAGUCAGUCAGUUAAGGGGAGAAGGAGAGGUUAUACCUUCAGGGAGCUACCAGACAGUGUUCUCAACUUGGUUAAGGAGGAAGAAAACCCAGUCAAUGAAAUUCUUGUAAACUUCCAUUAAGAUUAAGUGUGUAGAUUGAGCAGGUAGUAAUUGCAUGUAGUUUGUACACUGUUGCAUUAAAAGAUG
rnacentral:sRNA from 1 species